AAGCAUAUCAAUAAGCGGAGGAAAAGAAACCAACCGGGAUUACCUUAGUAACGGCGAGUGAAGCGGCAAAAGCUCAAAUUUGAAAUCUGGCGUCUUCGACGUCCGAGUUGUAAUUUGAAGAAGGCAACUUUGUAGCUGGUCCUUGUCUAUGUUCCUUGGAACAGGACGUCAUAGAGGGUGAGAAUCCCGUGUGGCGAGGAUCCCAGUUAUUUGUAAAGUGCUUUCGACGAGUCGAGUUGUUUGGGAAUGCAGCUCUAAGUGGGUGGUAAAUUCCAUCUAAAGCUAAAUAUUGGCGAGAGACCGAUAGCGAACAAGUACAGUGAUGGAAAGAUGAAAAGAACUUUGAAAAGAGAGUGAAAAAGUACGUGAAAUUGUUGAAAGGGAAGGGCAUUUGAUCAGACAUGGCGUUUGCUUCGGCUUUCGCUGGGCCAGCAUCAGUUUUAGCGGUUGGAUAAAUCCUCGGGAAUGUGGCUCUGCUUCGGUAGAGUGUUAUAGCCCGUGGGAAUACAGCCAGCUGGGACUGAGGAUUGCGACUUUUGUCAAGGAUGCUGGCGUAAUGGUUAAAUGCCGCCCG
rnacentral:rRNA from 1 species